GCGGGGGUCAAGAGCAAUAACGAAAAAUGUUUGUCAUAAACCGUUUUUCAUUAUUGCUCCUGACCUCCUCUCAUUUGCUAUAUUCA
ensembl:miRNA MIR335 microRNA 335